rnacentral:rRNA from 1 species
GACGAACGCUGGCGGCGUGCUUAACACAUGCAAGUCGAACGGAAAGGCCCUGCUUUUGUGGGGUGCUCGAGUGGCGAACGGGUGAGUAACACGUGAGUAACCUGCCCUUGACUUUGGGAUAACUUCAGGAAACUGGGGCUAAUACCGGAUAGGAGCUCCUGCUGCAUGGUGGGCGUUGGAAAGUUUCGGCGGUUGGGGAUGGACUCGCGGCUUAUGAGCUUGUUGGGCGGGUAGGGGCUUACCAAGGGUUUGAGGGGUAGCCGGCCUGGGAGGGGUGCCGGCGACAAGGGGCCUGCGAGACGGACCAGUCGCCUACGGGAGGCAGCAGUGGGGAACAUUGCAGAAUGGGCGGAAGCGUGAUGCAGCAACGUCGCGUGCGGGAUGACGGCCUACGGGGGGAAAACCGCUUUGGCCGGAGACGAAGCGUGAGUGACGGUAAUGGGUAAAGAAGCACCGGCUAACUACGUG